GAAAAAUUCUAUGCUGGCUCCCAUCCUCAGCCCUGUCAACAUUUGUUUUAUACCAACAAUGUUUCUGGAUUAUGUUGUCUCCCUCUAGGUCAUUCUCUCUGAAAAGUACUUAAAUUGAGUUCCCAGGGAAAAUCAGAUAUUCGCUAAUGUCCUAGUGAAUGAUAUGAGAAGGCCCAGUUCAUGAAGGCUCUGGAGAAGGUGAGAAAUGUGGGAUUACUCUGGAAGUCAUUUCUGCCACCUCUUAGGACAGAGAAUGUAGAUUUCCCAGGGAGCACUUCAUCAACAACCUUCAAAGCCAGCAAACUGAAGCAGACUAUGCUCAGUAAGUAGCAGUACACAUUCUAUUGGUUACAAAAUCGAUCCAUCCAAGUCCAUCUACACAUCUUCAAACAACUUCAACACCUUCAAACAACUUCAAGUCAGUCAAUGAGACAACAUUCCUCUUUUCUUAAAAAAAAAAAAUAAGAACAAUAAUAAAAUUUGGUUUGCAUAUAUGUAUGAAUACUCAGCUUAAAUCAUUUGAAAUGAUAUAAUGAAAUCUAAGUGUGUGUUUUGUCUCUAUAAAACCUGAG
ensembl:lncRNA